UACGUAGGGGGCAAGCGUUGUCCGGAGUCAUUGGGCGUAAAGAGCGUGUAGGCGGCCCGGUAAGUCCGCUGUGAAAGUCGGGGGCUCAACCCUCGAAUGCCGGUGGAUACUGUCGGGCUAGAGUGCGGAAGAGGCGAGUGGAAUUCCUGGUGUAGCGGUGAAAUGCGCAGAUAUCAGGAGGAACACCAAUUGCGAAGGCAGCUCGCUGGGACGUAACUGACGCUGAGGAGCGAAAGCGUGGGGAGCGAACAGG
rnacentral:rRNA from 1 species